rnacentral:rRNA from 1 species
GAUGAACGCUGGCGGCGUGCCUAAUACAUGCAAGUCGAGCGAACAGAUGAGGAGCUUGCUCCUCUGACGUUAGCGGCGGACGGGUGAGUAACACGUGGAUAACCUACCUAUAAGACUGGGAUAACUUCGGGAAACCGGAGCUAAUACCGGAUAAUAUAUUGAACCGCAUGGUUCAAUAGUGAAAGACGGUUUUGCUGUCACUUAUAGAUGGAUCCGCGCCGCAUUAGCUAGUUGGUAAGGUAACGGCUUACCAAGGCAACGAUGCGUAGCCGACCUGAGAGGGUGAUCGGCCACACUGGAACUGAGACACGGUCCAUACGCCUACGGGAGGCAGCAGUAGGGAAUCUUCCGCAAUGGGCGAAAGCCUGACGGAGCAACGCCGCGUGAGUGAUGAAGGUCUUCGGAUCGUAAAACUCUGUUAUUAGGGAAGAACAAAUGUGUAAGUAACUAUGCACGUCUUGACGGUACCUAAUCAGAAAGCCACGGCUAACUACGUG